rnacentral:rRNA from 1 species
UACGUAGGGUGCGAGCGUUAAUCGGAAUUACUGGGCGUAAAGCGUGCGCAGGCGGUUUUGUAAGACUGUCGUGAAAUCCCCGGGCUUAACCUGGGAAUGGCGAUGGUGACUGCAAGGCUAGAGUUUGGCAGAGGGGGGUAGAAUUCCACGUGUAGCAGUGAAAUGCGUAGAGAUGUGGAGGAACACCGAUGGCGAAGGCAGCCCCCUGGGUCAAGACUGACGCUCAUGCACGAAAGCGUGGGGAGCAAACAGG